rnacentral:rRNA from 1 species
AGAGUUUGAUCCUGGCUCAGGACGAACGCUGGCGGCGCGCCUAACACAUGCAAGUCGAACGGGGAAGUUAGCAAUAACUUCUUAGUGGCGAACGGGUGAGUAACGCGUGGACAACCAACCUUGUAGUGGGGGACAACACUUCGAAAGGAGUGCUAAUACCGCAUAAUCUCUUAGGGCCGCAUGGUUUGAAGAGGAAAGGGGCAAAUGCUCCGCUACAAGACGGGUCCGCGUCUGAUUAGCUAGUUGGAGGGGUAACGGCCCACCAAGGCGACGAUCAGUAGCUGGUCUGAGAGGAUGAACGGCCACACUGGGACUGAGACACGGCCCAGACUCCUACGGGAGGCAGCAGUGGGGAAUCUUCCGCAAUGGACGAAAGUCUUGACGGAGCGACGCCGCGUGAGUGAAGAAGGCCUUCGGGUCGUAAAGCUCUGUCAUCAGGGACGAAUGGCCGGUGGAGUGGAAAGCCACCGGAUUGACGGUACCUGAGAAGGAAGCCACGGCUAACUACGUGCCAGCAGCCGCGGUAAUACGUAGGUGGCAAGCGUUUGUCCCCGGAAUUAUUGGGCGUAAAGCGCGCGCAGGUGGGAUCUUAGUCCCUUUUGAAAGUUCGGAGCUCAACUCCGUGAA